rfam:Gossypium hirsutum cultivar TM-1 chromosome 18, whole genome shotgun sequence
AAUCUAUGCAUUGGACAUUUUUGAAGUAAUUCCUUAAAUCUUUCCCAAGCUUCGUAUAAUCUUUUAUCUUCUUAUUCCUGAAAAGAUGUGAUAUCAUUUCUCAAUUU